AGGAGAGGAAGAGGAGCUUGGGGAGGAGAUGGCCGGCGCCGAGGGCGAGAGGUGGGUGGGGCUAGCAACGGACUUCUCGGAGGGGAGCCGGGCGGCGCUGCGGUGGGCGGCGGCCAACCUGCUGCGAGCCGGCGACCACCUGCUGCUGCUGCACGUCAUCAAGGAGCCCGACUACGAGCAGAGCGAGGCCAUCCUCUGGGAAUCCACCGGCUCCCGUACGCACCCUUUCUCCAGUCUCC
rnacentral:lncRNA from 1 species